AGCGAACGCUGGCGGCAGGCCUAACACAUGCAAGUCGAACGAAGUCUUCGGACUUAGUGGCGGACGGGUGAGUAACACGUGGGAACGUACCUUUUGGUUCGGAACAACUCAGGGAAACUUGAGCUAAUACCGGAUGAGCCCUUAGGGGAAAAGAUUUAUCGCCGAAAGAGCGGCCCGCGUUAGAUUAGCUAGUUGGUGAGGUAAAGGCUCACCAAGGCUACGAUCUAUAGCUGGUCUGAGAGGAUGAUCAGCCACACUGGGACUGAGACACGGCCCAGACUCCUACGGGAGGCAGCAGUGGGGAAUCUUGCGCAAUGGGCGAAAGCCUGACGCAGCCAUGCCGCGUGAAUGAUGAAGGUCUUAGGAUUGUAAAAUUCUUUUACCAGGGACGAUAAUGACGGUACCUGGGGAAAAAGCCCCGGCUAACUUCGUGCCAGCAGCCGCAGUAAGAC
rnacentral:rRNA from 1 species